rnacentral:ncRNA from 1 species
GAAAACGCAAUGAACAGGAACAGUAGGGUAAUUCCCGGUCAUAGAGAGCUGCGGGGUGGUGCAACGCAGUCGAAGGAAACCUGAAACUCACCUGGAAGCGGAACGAUGGAACACGGUAACUCCCCGGGAGAAGCCGAAGGCCGAUGAUGGCCCAAAGUACAUGGUUACGGGUUGCCUCCGUGAAAGGGCCGUUGUUGAUGGAAUACGGAUGACAUAUCGGUAGAAAAUCAACAAUAACUGAGGGGGCUUUUGUCACUUUGGGCAAUGAUAACGGUAUGGACGCAUACAGGAUCAGCUCGAAGGAAAUGAAAGUCAACAAGAGUGGUACCGCGAAGGUGAACAGCCUGUCGUCUCUUGC